rnacentral:tRNA from 1 species
GCUGCCGUAGCUCAGUGGUAGAGCACUCCCUUGGUAAGGGAGAGGUCGAGCGUUCAAUCCGCUUCGGCAGCACCA